UACGAAGGGGGCUAGCGUUGUUCGGAAUUACUGGGCGUAAAGCGCACGUAGGCGGAUUUGUAAGCCAGGGGUGAAAUCCCGGGGCUCAACCUCGGAACUGCCUUUGAUACUGCGGAUCUCGAGUCCGAUAGAGGUGAGUGGAAUUCCUAGUGUAGAGGUGAAAUUCGUAGAUAUUAGGAAGAACACCAGUGGCGAAGGCGGCUCACUGGAUCGGUACUGACGCUGAGGUGCGAAAGCGUGGGGAGCAAACAGG
rnacentral:rRNA from 1 species